UACGGAGGGUGCAAGCGUUAUCCGGAUUCACUGGGUUUAAAGGGUGCGUAGGUGGAGUGGUAAGUCAGUGGUGAAAUCUCCAAGCUUAACUUGGAAACUGCCGUUGAUACUAUCAUUCUUGAAUAUCGUGGAGGUAAGCGGAAUAUGUCAUGUAGCGGUGAAAUGCUUAGAUAUGACAUAGAACACCGAUUGCGAAGGCAGCUUGCUACACGAUCAUUGACACUGAGGCACGAAAGCGUGGGGAUCAAACGGG
rnacentral:rRNA from 1 species